CGUAGGGUGCGAGCGUUAAUCGGAAUUACUGGGCGGUAAAGCGUGCGCAGGCGGUUUUGUAAGACAGGCGUGAAUCCCCGGGCUCAACCUGGGAACUGCGCUUGUGACUGCAAGGCUAGAGUACGGCAGAGGGGGUGGAAUUCCACGUGUAGCAGUGAAAUGCGUAGAGAUGUGGAGGAACACCAAUGGCGAAGGCAGCCCCCUGGGUCGAUACUGACGCUCAUGCACGAAAGCGUGGGUAGCAAACAGGAUUAGAUACCCUGGUAGUCCACGCCCUAAACGAUGUCAACUAGGUGUUGGGUGGGUAAAACCGAUUUAGUACCGGAGCUAACGCGUGAAGUUGACCGCCUGGGGAGUACGGCCGCAAGGUUA
rnacentral:rRNA from 1 species